rnacentral:lncRNA from 1 species
CAUACGGGCACUGAUACCAUUUUAACUUUUUUACAUAUUCUUUGUCUUGUAAAGAGAUAACUCACAUACCUAUGCCUUAAAUUUAGCCCUAACCCUCAACUCGGGGCAGCAGCAGGAGCUCUGACUGCCCGUGGGUCCUGUCCCCACGCACCAGCUCUGCCUGCCCAUGGGUCCUGUCCCCAUGCCAGCGGGGGCAGCAGAAGCAGCGGCAGCAGAAGCUCUGACUGCCCAUGGGUCCUGUCCCCAUGCUAUUCUAUACUAUUCUCUAAAUAAAAGAGCACUACUGCCAGAUCUUGAGAGUCUAAGAAAUCUUUCUUUCGACUCCUCGGCUCACCGACCCCGCAUCAUUUCUGGUGGCCCGUACGGGGAUCUCGCUUCAUCGGCUUGUGAGCUCGAGUUCUGGUAAGUGCCCUUUUUCCUUUCCUUGUGCCUUUCUCUUUUUCGAGGAUGGAUCUAAAUUCACUUCUCCAUCGGGAACUUUCUUGGAUGGCUGUAUGAAUCCACGUUUGCUGCCCAUGGCUACUCUAUGGGGCAAACUGUGGCAUUCAGCUUGAAGAGAAUCAGUACCUUAAGCCUCAGGGUGAUGAAGAAUGAAUUAAUCCAUUCCUUCCCGACUCUAUCUCUAAUAGACAAAUUUUACGUGGGUGCGGGUCGGCCACUUAAGUCAUUAGGACGGCCGCCAAUCUCCAAGACUCCCGUGGAAGGUUUCUUUUCCUAAGGCUGGAAUUGGGAUCCCUCCCUCUGGCACCUGAGCACGCUCUGAACUGCGAGGAAAGUCCCACUCGGGACUCCAGUUCAAGGAAAGUACCAAACUCUAACCUUUGGUGGAGUAUGGGAACCCCUUCUUGGGAGAAUGGCUCCAGGCUGCAAUUGGGUAGAAUGUCCCCCAGACUGGCGGGAAAUUCCUCACUGUUUUUCUCUAUCCUUUAUCCUGGGGACCAUUCACCAGGCACCUAUUACUGCCAGGCAUAAUAGGGAAGAUGUUCAAGGGAUGCCCCCAUCAUCCCUUGCUACAGGAACUCCAUUGGGGGGAUUUUCGAGGUAAUGGCUCCUUUUCUUUCUCCUUUUCUCUCAGGGACCAUGCACCAGGCCUGUGCUGCCAGGCAGAAUAGGCACCAGGCACCUGUUACUGCCAGGCAUAACAGGGAAGGUAUACAAGGGAUGCAAUGCCAGGGGACACCCCCAUCACCCCUUGCUAUAGGAACCCCACAGUAGGAACAACGGGUAGGACGCUGCCCUAGGUUCAGGGGGGAUUUUUCACGGUAAUGGACCCGUUUCUUUUGUCUCUCUUGGAGUUACAAUGGCCAUUUUCAUCUCCUUUUGAGCUUUGCAACUGGGAAACAAAGAAAUCUUUAAAGAAUAAAAGGCUCCACCCCUGGGAGCCCCAACUUUGGGUUUCUGGGCCUGAUCACCCCAGCAACCCUAAGUGGGGGGGUGCCCUUUAUUCCUUCAGGAAGAAAGGCCCCGGGCCAUGGUUCCUCAUAAAGCUUUGUUUAAUUUUCUCUUGCUAUUCUGUCUCAUGUGAAUUUAAUUCGUUCUCCAGCCAGACGAACCCCCAUUUGGGGAGAGGAAAUGUCCUCCUCCCCUACAGUUUUGGCGUAGUUGGCAGGAUGAAAUUUCCCUGGCUGGACACUGCUUGCUCCUGGACUGCUGCGGCUGAGAGAUCCCGGACCCCUGACGAGAGCCAGCAAGAGGUAAGAGUUCUUACCACGUCAGUCUCCCGGAUCUCUGCCUGCAGGCUCCAAUGGAAGCAAGAGUGCAUUAUUCACAAUACCUGAGACUUGAAAACAGCCAAAGAGCCCACUGAUGGAUGAACGGAUAAAGAAGAUGUGGUAUAUAUACACAAUGGAAUACAACUCAGCCACAAAAAGAGAAAUCUUGCCAUUUGUGACAACAUGGAUGGACCUUGAGGUUAUUAUGCUAAGUGAGAUAAGUCAGACAGAGAAAGUCAAAUACAGUAUGAUUUCACUCAUAUACGGAAGAUAAAACAACAACAAACACGUAGGUACAGAGAAUGGAUUGGUGAUUGCCAGGGAGGUAGCAGGUAGGGGGGAGUGUGAAAGGGGUAAAGGGACACAUGUUCAUGGUGACGGAUGGAAACUAGACUUCUGAUAAUGAACACGAUGUCGUCUGCACAUAAGUCAAAAUAUAAUGAUGUACACCUGAAAUUUAUAUGAUGUUAUAAACCAAUGUUACCCCAAUAAAAAAAUUAAAAUUUUGAAUUAUUAGC